rnacentral:rRNA from 1 species
UACAGAGGGUGCGAGCGUUAAUCGGAAUUACUGGGCGUAAAGCGUGCGUUAGACGGCUAUCUAAGUCGGGUGUGAAAAGCCCCCGGGGCUCAACCUUGGGGAAUUGCAUUCGAGACUGAAUAGCUAGGGUACGGUAGAGGGAAGCGGAAUUUCCGGUGUAGCGGUGAAAUGCGUAGAUAUCGGAAGGAACAUCAGUGGCGAAAGCGGCUUCCUGGACCAGUACCGACGUAGCACGAAGCGUGGGGAAGCAAAGCAGGGAAUUGA